rnacentral:rRNA from 1 species
AGCGUAGACGGAUGGACAAGUCUGAUGUGAAAGGCUGGGGCUCAACCCCGGGACUGCAUUGGAAACUGCCCGUCUUGAGUGCCGGAGAGGUAAGCGGAAUUCCUAGUGUAGCGGUGAAAUGCGUAGAUAUCAGGAGGAACACCGAUGGCGAAGGCAGAUCUCUGGGCCGCUACUGACGCUGAGGAGCGAAAGCAUGGGGAGCGAACA